ACCUGCCAGUGGAUUGCGGCUUCUGCAGAUCCCUGCCCCUGAAAUACAUAGUGUCUGAAGCAACGGCCUAGUAAAUUGUAAAAUAUUGUGCAAGUCAGUAUGCUUGAUGAAGAUGGGUGCAUGAGCGUAGUGUAUGUAUGAGGUUGUGUAGCACUUAAGGGGUGGAGAAAUACUUGAAAGGGAUCCAGAUUACUCUUGUGGUUUUUGGAGCUCUGCAGCAAGUCGUGCCUGAUUGGAGAUAUCUCUGUAAGUGAGCUAAAAGGGCAAGUGGAUAUAACUCAAACCACCAUGAAUAGUCGGUGUGUCAGAAUGUCUAUCAUAUGGGUGGAUGAUUGACAGGAGGUGUUCUGGAGGUAGAGGACUAACUGGCAGCAGGAUCAGGGCAGCGUCUCUGAUGCUGAUGAACUUGGGAGCUGGAGAAGUACAGAGGGGACAAUAAAAUGCUUCAGAGCAUGAAAUGGGUCUCAGCACCAGCGGCAGGGUUCUCUCUGCACCUCCUAACAAUGUUCUGAACCCCAUCAUGUGACCCGGACACAGUGCUGAGCACCGCCUGGCUUGCCCGUUCAAACAACAGCUUAAACUGCUUGCAGAUGUUGAUCAGCGAAUAAAUUCUUUGCAAAGUCUGUGAGUAUGGAGUGGAGGAACGUUGGAGACUAAAGUGAAGGGGGACUGUUUUGUUUCUUGCACUAGUUUUUAAGUAGCACAGUAUAUUGCAUGGAAUGAUGUAUCACACAUGAAUUGUACCAUGAAGCUUCACAUCACAUGUUGUGUUUUUCAUCGGUUUAAUUUCUCUUUCUUGUUUUUCUUCACUGCUCGGCUAUAUAUUAUAGCACCCUUGACCUUUCCUCUUCCCAAGGAAGACAAGGAAAUAAAACAACUAUCUCUCAGGGCUCUUAAGCCUGGAUAUAACAUGAUCACAUCUCCAUAGAUGAAACUAAUAAAACAAGUUUUGUUUUCCACUGGGCGCCCUGGCCAAGAACAUUGACUUAGUUUAGAAUGAAUCACACAAGUGUUUUAUAUCAGCUGUAACAGAUUAAAGACAUCCAGCUCUGUCGUGUGCUAUAAUUUAAUUAACAGAUGCUUUAUAGAUCUCACAUUGAAUUUCACCUUUGGGUACAGUAUAUAAGCAGUGCUUCAAUAACCACUCAAGUGGGUUGGUACUUUAAUAUGUUAAAAAUGACCCUUAAACCAGUUUAUGCUAGGUGGGCGAAAUGCCUGUGUUUCCUCACAGUGCAGCCACCAUUUUUCACAAGGACGCACACAUACUCGCAAAUUAUGUAAAGCCUGUCUGAGGAGAGAAAACCCUUGAUGACAUUAAACGUCAGCGGCGGGUAACAUUCAGAGUAAACAAGACCCGAGCUGUGCAAGUUCCCCCUCGCACUGCACGUAUCAACAGAGACCGAGAGCUAGCCAAACAUACACACUGCACUUAUUCACAUACUCUGGUUCAGCCAUUGUUUAUUAAAGGUCAGGGGUCACAUAGAGCAAGAGUGAUAGAGAGAAAAAGAGAGAUAAAAAAACAUGCUUAAAGAAGAUAAAAUGGUGAAAUUGGGAGAGCCUAUGUUUUACUCGCUGCAGAAAAGAAGUAUUACUUUAAUCAAAAGUUACUUUCCAAAAAUUGGGGUCAGCAAUAUUUUUAAACCAAUUUGGUCACAAGGGGAACUUGCCUACUACAGGCUAUUCAGCACAAAAAUUAUGAAACAACAAGAAUAUAAAAGGUAACAUACAAAAUAUCAAACCACUGUUUUAGCCAAAACUGAAUAAACUGU